GUCUAAGGUCGUAGGAGGUUGUACAGGCAAAUCCGUAUAACAAUACUCCGAGAACUGAAAGGCUUUUUGAAGUCUUCGGAUGGAUAGAAGAACCCCUGAUGCCGUCGAGCCAAGAAAAGUUUCUAAGUUUAGCUAAUGUUGCCCGUACCGUAAACCGACACAGGUGGGUGGGAUGAGUAUUCUAAGGCGCGUGGAAGAACUCUCUUUAAGGAACUCUGCAAAAUAGCACCGUAUCUUCGGUAUAAGGUGUGGUUAGCUUUGUAUUAGGAUUUACUCCGAAAGCAAGGAAACUUACAACAAAGAGUCCCUCCCGACUGUUUACCAAAAACACAGCACUCUGCUAACUCGUAAGAGGAUGUAUAGGGUGUGACGCCUGCCCGGUGCUCGAAGGUUAAUUGAUGGGGUUAGCAUUAGCGAAGCUCUUGAUCGAAGCCCGAGUAAACGGCGGCCGUAACUAUAACGGUCCUAAGGUAGCGAAAUUCCUUGUCGGUUAAAUACCGACCUGCAUGAAUGGCGUAACGAGAUGGGAGCUGUCUCAAAGAGGGAUCCAGUGAAAUUGUAGUGGAGGUGAAAAUUCCUCCUACCCGCGGCAAGACGGAAAGACCCCGUGGACCUUUACUACAGCUUGACACUGCUACUUGGAUAAGAAUGUGCAGGAUAGGUGGGAGGCUUUGAGUAUAUGACGCCAGUUGUAUAUGAGCCAUUGUUGAGAUACCACUCUUUCUUAUUUGGGUAGCUAACCAGCUUGAGUUAUCCUCAAGUGGGACAAUGUCUGGUGGGUAGUUUGACUGGGGCGGUCGCCUCCCAAAUAAUAACGGAGGCUUACAAAGGUUGGCUCAGAACGGUUGGAAAUCGUUCGUAGAGUAUAAAGGUAUAAGCCAGCUUAACUGCAAGACAUACAAGUCAAGCAGAGACGAAAGUCGGUCUUAGUGAUCCGGUGGUUCUGUGUGGAAGGGCCAUCGCUCAAAGGAUAAAAGGUACCCCGGGGAUAACAGGCUGAUCUCCCCCAAGAGCUCACAUCGACGGGGAGGUUUGGCACCUCGAUGUCGGCUCAUCGCAUCCUGGGGCUGGAGCAGGUCCCAAGGGUAUGGCUGUUCGCCAUUUAAAGCGGUACGCGAGCUGGGUUCAGAACGUCGUGAGACAGUUCGGUCCCUAUCUGCCGUGGGCGUAAGAAGAUUGAAGAGAUUUGACCCUAGUACGAGAGGACCGGGUUGAACAAACCACUGGUGUAGCUGUUGUUCUGCCAAGAGCAUCGCAGCGUAGCUAAGUUUGGAAAGGAUAAACGCUGAAAGCAUCUAAGCGUGAAGCCAACUCUAAGAUGAAUCUUCUCUAAGCUCUCUAGAAGACUACUAGUUUGAUAGGCUGGGUGUGUAAUGGAUGAAAGUCCUUUAGCUGACCAGUACUAAUAGAGCGUUUGGCUUAUCUUUAAUAAAGCAU
rnacentral:rRNA from 1 species